GGAGUUUGAAUUCUAGAAAGCUGGGCUUUCAGAGUGUUACUGUAGCAUGUCCAUGAGUAGGUCCACACUUUCAGAGUGUGAGCUGUGCUUAUGACUCAGUUCUUUCUCUCCAGAGAUUUCCACAGCCUCUGUCUUCCCUCUGAACCUGAUGCUUCAGCCUUUGUUGGACACCCAUAUGAAGGAACCUGUCUAAAUCCAUGCUCAGAAGGGGAUUAAAGUUGGACACAUGGAGAUGCCCAGAGCCUGCUGUUGUAUUCAUGGUGCCUCUGACCCUGUGGCCCAAUUUGCCUCGACUCAGUGAGGUGACAGAGUUCUGCCAUUAAAUCUCAAAUUCAAUUCCUAUCUGGUUGGGUGGCCCCAAGUUUAGGGAGCUUGAUAGGCUGUCUGUGGUCUGAGUGUCCUUUGCAUGUUUGCAAGCAGAACUCUGGAUCCAUAACCACCUGGCUUGAAUGUUGGAUGUGCAGUUUUCUGGUGGGGAGUUUGGCUUCUGGAA
rnacentral:lncRNA from 1 species